GAUUUUCAUCCUGGUCGCCCCACACUUGGCUGCAAACUGCCCCAGUGCAUGUUGAAGGUCCUGGUUCAACGAAGCCAACAGAACCACAUUAUCCACAAACAGCAGAGAUGAGAUCCUGAAGCUGCCAAACUGGACUCCCUCCGCCCCCUGGCUGUGCCUAGAAAUUCUGUCCAUAAAAAUAAUAAACAGAACUGGUGACAAAGGGCAGCCCUGGCAGAGGCCAACGUGCACUGGGAACAGGUCCGACUUACUGCCGGCAAUGUGAACCAGACUCCGGCUUCAUACAGGGACCGGAUAGCCCUUAGUAAAGGACCCCGGACCCCGUACUCCCGGAGCACUCCCCAC